rnacentral:rRNA from 1 species
GGAGCGAGUUUGAUCCUGGCUCAGGAUGAACGCUAGCGGCAGGCCUAACACAUGCAAGUCGAGGGGUAACAGGAAAAAGCUUGCUCUUCCGCUGACGACCGGCGCACGGGUGCGUAACGCGUAUGCAACCUACCUUUUACAGGAGUAUAGCCCAGAGAAAUUUGGAUUAAUCCUCCAUAAUAUCUUAAUCAUGCAUAUGAUAAAGAUUAAAGCUUCGGUGGUAAAAGAUGGGCAUGCGUUUUAUUAGCUAGUAGGUGAGGUAACGGCUCACCUAGGCCACGAUAAAUAGGGGCCCUGAGAGGGGGAUCCCCCACACUGGUACUGAGACACGGACCAGACUCCUACGGGAGGCAGCAGUGAGGAAUAUUGGACAAUGGACGAAAGUCUGAUCCAGCCAUGCCGCGUGCAGGAUGACGGCCCUAUGGGUUGUAAACUGCUUUUAUACAGGAAGAAACACUCCCACGUGUGGGGGCUUGACGGUACUGUACGAAUAAGGAUCGGCUAACUCCGUGCCAGCAGCCGCGGUAAUACGGAGGAUCCAAGCGUUAUCCGGAAUUAUUGGGUUUAAAGGGUCCGCAGGCGGUCUAUUAAGUCAGAAGUGAAAUCUUGC